CCAAUCAAAUAGAUAAUCUUCUACUUAACUAAGAAAGUUUUAAUACAUGUCAUGAGGUAACAUAAUCAUUUUAAAUAGACUUUCUUCUAACAUUAUAGCUCAAAUAAGUUUAGAAUGAUGGGCUCAUCAGCUUGUAAAUACAUCCUAAAUUUUAAUAAUAAAGGCCAACUUGAGAGAAUUGUGGUGUAACUGCCAACAUUCUGCAACUCAAUUUUUCAUUUCAGGGUCUUCAAUUCAAUCUAUUUAAGUUCGAGUUUGCAAACAAAGAUAGCCGAUGAAGUUGUAAUGUGUAAGUAACUUAACAAGGCGAUGGAGUUGCUUCUUGUUUCUGAUUGACAGUAUAAUAUUCAGGCACUUAUCUGCUAGGACUGUUUCCUUAUGAAGAUGUCUUAGUUCAAGCCCCUUGUAAAUUUUCACAACCUAAGACAAAUUAUAGAAAUGUCUAGAUAAUAAGUUAGUGCAAAGUGGAACAUUCCUUCUUGUCUUUGAUAAUUGAUUAGGAAGUGGAAAGUGGAACAUUCCUUCUUGUCUUUGAUAAUUGAUUAGGAAGGGUUGGGAUGUCUUUUAUCAACUAGAAAAAGAAAAAGAAAAAAGAAAAAACUGAGACUUCAUUUUAUGUAUACAAAAUUGAGAAAAAGAGUCAUUUGAUGGACAGGAAAGAGGAAAGAAGCCUGUGUCUAUGAUUCAUCACCUUUGGGUCAUAUCUGGAGUCCCACAACUAGGAAUAAUCACAAGUUAAUCUGGAUCUCAUAUUAUGUUAUGUCUAUAAAAAAUUGUUAAGUGAAUCUCCUGGACUUUUGGGUUCAAUGUGAUCCUAAUUUCUACAUGCUUGUUAUAUAAUUAAGUUUUAUCUUGCUCUCUUUAACAUUCUCACAAUCCAUUGCUUUUAAAAUUAGAUUGCUUCUAUGCACUUGUUUAUUACUUCUUUGCAUCUUCGUGAUAGGGAAUCGGUCAAUUUAGAAACCAAAAUGCUGGUUCUCAAUCUACUCAAAAUGAUGUUAAUAUUAAGGUGAACCAAGAUGCAGAAACCUUAGCUCUUUCACAUACUAAACGAAGAAAGUUGGAAUAAAAAAAUAAACAAAAAAAUGGAAGGGGAUGGAGAGUUUGUAAUCGUUGUAAGCAAAGGUGGCUAAUGAUAUCAAUGGUAUGAUUGAUUGUGCAAAGGUUGCUGACUUGGCACUGCUUCUCAUAGAUGGAAGUUACGGGUUUGAAAUGGAAAGCUUUGAAUUUCUUUACUUAAUGUAAACUCAUGGAACGCCCAGGGUUAUGGGAGUUCUUACUCACCUUGAUACGUUCAAGGAUGUGAAGAAGUUGAGAAAAAAAAAGCAGCGUCUCAAACAUCGUCUCUGGACAGAAAUAUAUGACGGAGCAAAGUUGUUUUAUUUAUCUGGUCUAAUUCAUGGGAAGUAAGUGCUUCACAUUUUAAAAGCCGGACCGUUUGUUGACCCAGUUAAGAGGCCGGUUCGCAGGUUGACCGGUCUAACCGAUUGGACCGGUCGGUCUGACCGGUAUAUAACAGUACCAUCUUUAAACAAAUAUAUUAAUUGUUAUAAGUUUAAAAACCAGCAAAUACAUCCCUAAAAGUUACAAUAAACCCCUCUUAAGUUUAAAAUAAAGCAAAUUGACCCUCAAUUUUAUUAUUAAUUAUUUUUUCUCCCUCCCUAUCACUUUCAUCUUUCACUUUUUUUUCUCUCUCCAUCACGCCAUCACUCCCCAUAAAUUCUCUCUUUUUUUUCUCUCUCUCCCCAUCACUCCCCGUCA